rnacentral:lncRNA from 1 species
GAAGUUUAGAGAGGGAGGCGAGAGACUGGCGUUUAGAAAUUAGAUCAGGGGUGGAGGGAAGAGGGAAAUGACCAUCCGAUAAUCAAACCAUUUAAUGUUGUUCUUUGAAUCAGGGCAAUCGCGGCGGUAGAUGAACUUGAUUAGGCAGACGCGUGAGAUCAAAGUGGCCGGGACCAAAGCGGACAGGGUCCAACGUGCCAGCACUGCCAAGAGAAGGCCUUUUGUACUCAGGUUAAAUAAGAACAUCCUGCAAGGAGUCUGUUCUUUUAUGCAGCCUAAAGAUCAAGUAAUAAUCAUUGACACUGAUACUGAGCAUGUCGAUUUUGAAGAGACUAGCAUUUCCUGGUAAUGAAGUGGAGUAUAUAUCCAUAUAUUUCUGUUUUCUGGAUGAGAAGACUAACCUAACUAAGUAGGAACCUUGAAGAAUCAUGUUCUUCCUAGGAAUUACAAAUCCCCCGAUUCCAUGUCUAACAUAAUUUCUACUGGCCUCUUUGCUUCUCAUGCUUUAGUACCAGUGCUUCUGAAUUUGAAAGUCUUCAUGCAAAUUGCCCAGCUGACAGGGCAGCCACUGUUGAGGAAAUGCUGAUCACAACAUCACAGGUAAAGGAGAAUGUAAUGAAGCAAGAACUGGCUCUUAAAGCUUCUGUUUGCAGCAGUGACAAGGCUCACCUUUCAACCGCCAAAGCAAGUCAAAAAGCCAAACCUGACUUACAUGGCACAGAAAAGUGCCCCAGGGAGGGAAAUCAGACAUUGAUGAACUGUGGCCAAAAUCCAGCUGAGCCAGCGCUCAGGUCACCAGUAUCAUUUCUCCCCAGAGGACUAAGAGUCCUCCUGCAAAUUAACUCCUAGUAUCCUGCACUGAUGUACCAGAUACCAGAGGUGGGUAUACAUAUACAUUUUUGGCUUUGCAAAUCAAGACAUGGGUCUAUUCCUUAACAAAAAGUAGCUUAUUAUUCAUAGCCCAUUUUAAUAUGUUAAUUGAAAGAACACUUCUAUGGGUGGAAUAUAAAUGCCAUUUAACAUUUCUGAGAGCAUUUAUAGGCUUUGGAUGUCCAUGAUUCUUUACAGAGUUAUUUUUUUCUGUUUACCUCAUU